GCACAUCACUCUGGAGAGACCGGUUCAAUCCGGCGCCGAAGGUGCAAGGGGUGACCACCCCCAAACUCUCAGGCAAAAGGACAGAGGGGCGCCC
rnacentral:ncRNA from 1 species